UACGUAGGGGGCGAGCGUUGUCCGGAUUUAUUGGGCGUAAAGAGCUCGUAGGCGGUUUGUAAGUUGGAUGUGAAAUCUCCAGGCUCAACUUGGAGGGGUCAUUCGAUACUGCCAUGACUAGAGUUCGGUAGGGGAGUGUGGAAUUCCUGGUGGAGCGGUGAAAUGCGCAGAUAUCAGGAGGAACACCAAUGGCGAAGGCAGCUCGCUGGAACGGUACUGACGCUGAGGCGCGAAAGCGUGGGGAGCAAACAGG
rnacentral:rRNA from 1 species